rnacentral:rRNA from 1 species
UGCCAGACUCCUACGGGAGGCAGCAGUGGGGAAUAUUGCACAAUGGGGGGAACCCUGAUGCAGCGACGCCGCGUGGGUGAAGGAGCACCUCGGUGCGUAAAGCCCUAUCGGCAGGGAAGAAGGAGGACGGUACCUGACUAAGAAGCCCCGGCUAACUACGUGCCAGCAGCCGCGGUAAUACGUAGGGGGCAAGCGUUAUCCGGAUUUACUGGGUGUAAAGGGGGCGCAGACGGCAGCGCAAGCCAGGAGUGGAAGGCCGGGGCCCAACCCCGGGACUGCUCUUGGAACUGCGCGGCUGGAGUGCAGGAGGGGCAGGCGGAAUUCCUGGUGUAGCGGUGAAAUGCGUAGAUAUCAGGAGGAACACCGGUGGCGAAGGCGGCCUGCUGGACUGCGACUGACGUUGAGGCCCGAAAGCGUGGGGAGCAAACAGGAUUAGAUACCCGUGUAGC